CGGACGGGUGAGUAAUGUCUGGGAAACUGCCCGAUGGAGGGGGAUAACUACUGGAAACGGUAGCUAAUACCGCAUAACGUCGCAAGACCAAAGAGGGGGACCUUCGGGCCUCUUGCCAUCGGAUGUGCCCAGAUGGGAUUAGCUAGUAGGCGGGGUAAUGGCUCACCUAGGCGACGAUCCCUAGCUGGUCUGAGAGGAUGACCAGCCACACUGGAACUGAGACACGGUCCAG
rnacentral:rRNA from 1 species